rnacentral:rRNA from 1 species
UCGAGAAUCAUUCACAAUGCACGAAAGUGUGAUGAUGCGACGCCGCGUGAAGGAUGAAGGCCCUAGGGUUGUAAACUUCUGUCAGAAGGAAAGAACAGCAUGUAGGUAAAUAGCCUACAUGUUUGACGGUACCUUCAGAGGAAGCCACGGCUAACUCUGUGCCAGCAGCCGCGGUAAUACAGAGGUGGCGAGCGUUGUUCGGAUUUACUGGGCGUAAAGGGUGCGUAGGCGGUUUCGUAAGUUGGAUGUGAAAUCCCACGGCUCACCCGUGGAACUGCAUUCAAAACUGCGGAACUAGAGUAUCGGAGAGGUAUGUGGAAUUCUUGGUGUAGCGGUGAAAUGCGUAGAUAUCAAGAAGAACACCGGCGGCGAAAGCGGCAUACUGGACGAAUACUGACGCUGAGGCACGAAAGCCAGGGGAGCGAAGAGG